CUGUUGCACAAAAGUAGAAUUAAGACAUCCGGGAUAAAUGACUCAGCUGAGCUCAAUGAAGCCAAAACAUGUGCGUCCAGGCUUAAUUGGUUGCACAAAGACCAAGCCAGGAUGAGCAGACACGGAUUCAUUAAGCCAGGUGAAACCAAUCCUGGAUAGGUGCGCGCUCACGGCUCACUCAAAUAGACCCCGCCACAGAUCACAGAUUAACUGAUUUACCAUGGCAACUAGAGCCGCGUACUUUUCCCCGUCGGAAGCACAAAUCCUCAUGGAGGCAUACGAGGAGGUAAAAGAUAUAAUUAAGAAGAAAGGCAACACCGCCACAGUGAUAAAGCAAAGAGAAAAAGCGUGGCAAAGUAUUGCAGACCGCCUGAAUGCAUUAAACAUGAACGGGCCAAAAAGGACAUGGCAGCAGGUCAAAAUCAAAUACAAGAACAUUCUGCAGAAUGCAGUGAAAAAGAAUACCCACAGACAAGGCACGGGUGGUGGGUCACCAAAGGCUGACCUUACCCCAGCAGAGGACAUGGCCUUGGAGCUAAAUAAAGGCAGGCCCGUCUUAGAGGGGAUCCCUGGGGGGAAAGAGACGAGCAUAGGUUCCUCCCAAGAUGCCACCCGCUUCAUUCAAGUGUCUGGCAGCACUGUGUUCCUGUUAGAGCCACCAGCACAAGCACCAGACGAUGCUGAUCCAGGUGAAGGCCCCAGUGCAGCAGCAACAGCACAUGAUGGAGACGAUGAUGAUGAGGAGGAGACCAUCUCUCUGGAUUCCAGAAGGCAUGAGGACCCAGAUGCUAUACAGUGGGAAAACCAGCCUGGCAACAUAGUGCGUAUUAAUAAAAGGACACCACAUCCUGCCAAAUUCCAGCUGCGCUAAUUGUAUUGUGUUCACAGAGCUCACAAGCUAUCAGAAAGUUGUAUGGCAACCACCUCCGGCGCCAAAUAGAACUGGCAGACAUAGACAUUCAGUACAAGAAGAAAAAGAUGGAAAAUCUUGCACUGGAGUCCGAAAUAAAAAAGAGGACAAUUAGGAAACUGGACCUUGAAAUAAAAAAACUUGAGAGGGAGGUGAGAUAUGCCUUCAAUGUACACUGUAUGCUAACUGUAACACAAAUGUAUUAAUCAUUAUUUGUAUUUCCUCCCCCAGCUCCAAGAAGAUGACACAGCUCAAAAUAAAAAUUAGGUAUAUUCUCGUAAAGUCAAGUGAGCCAUGACAUAUGAGCUCUUAUUGUGAGCACACAGGACGGUGGCAUCUUUCUAAGGUUUUUUUUAUUUUCCCAGCAAUCAGUACAACCAAGUCAUCGUUAUAAGGCAUCGCCCUCUUUUGCCCACCCCCCCAGCACCAGGUGUGGCCACUAGCCUAUAUGAAGGCCCAAAAUUGUGUGUUCCUUUCUGCUCUGACAAUGGCAUGCCCAUUCGUGCGAGAUGUGGUGGAUGAAGAAGCACUUGUGCUGAGGAGAGCCUUCAGGCGAGAAAGGGUCUUCAGGGACCGGUUGGACCCACUGGCCUUCCCUGACGACCAUCUAUAUGAAAGAUACAGGUUUUCUGCAGAUGGCAUCAGGUAUCUAUGCAGACUACUGGGUCCCAGGAUUAAGCACCGCACUGCACGGAGCCAUGCACUGAGUGUGGAGCAAAUGGUUUGUGUGGCCUUGCGCUUUUUUGCUAGUGGAGCCUUCCUGUACUCAGUGGGGGAUGCAGAACAGCUGAACAAGGCCACAAUUUGCCGCACAAUAAGGAGUGUGUGUCUGGCUAUCAAAGCAUUAGCAGAUGUCUUCAUCUCCUUCCCUGGCCACAGAAGACUCUGUGACAUCAAAGAGGAGUUCUAUAGGAUUGCAGAUGGUCUGCAAUGCUGACUGUGUGAUCAGCAAUGUUGUGGCAAAAUGGCCUGGCUCAGUCCAUGACUCCAGAAUCUUUCGGGCCUCUGAAAUCUAUCAGUGCCUAUCACAAGGUGAAUUCUCUGGUGUGUUGCUGGGAG